CCUACGGGCGGCAGCAGUGAGGAAUAUUGGUCAAUGGACGAGAGUCUGAACCAGCCAAGUAGCGUGAAGGAUGACUGCCCUAUGGGUUGUAAACUUCUUUUAUAUGGGAAUAAAAUGUUCCACGUGUGGGAUUUUGUAUGUACCAUAUGAAUAAGGAUCGGCUAACUCCGUGCCAGCAGCCGCGGUAAUACGGAGGAUCCGAGCGUUAUCCGGAUUUAUUGGGUUUAAAGGGAGCGUAGGUGGAUGGUUAAGUCAGUUGUGAAAGUUUGCGGCUCAACCGUAAAAUUGCAGUUGAAACUGGCAGUCUUGAGUACAGUAGAGGUAGGCGGAAUUCGUGGUGUAGCGGUGAAAUGCUUAGAUAUCACGAAGAACUCCGAUUGCGAAGGCAGUUCACUGGACUGCAACUGACACUGAGGCUCGAAAGUGUGGGUAUCAAACAGGAUUAGAUACCCGAGUAGUC
rnacentral:rRNA from 1 species